AGAAAGGUAAGCUAAAUUUGAAGCUAAUAGGUUCAUACCCUAUUUAUAGAGAAACUCUCCUCUCUA
rnacentral:tRNA from 1 species